rnacentral:misc_RNA from 1 species
UAAUAAGUGUUUUAUGGCACUUUUUAAAUCCAUAUCCACCUUGUGUGCAAUGUCAGUCGAUCUUCUUCAUGGAGAUCGACCAAACAUCAACCUUUAUUUUUAACUCUUUGUCUGAAAAUAUUAUGAAUAAACAAUUCAAAUA